rnacentral:rRNA from 1 species
GACGAACGCUGGCGGCGCGCCUAACACAUGCAAGUCGAACGGAGCUGAGAGAAGCUUGCUUUUCUUAGCUUAGUGGCGCACGGGUGAGUAACGCGUGAGUAACCUGCCCUGGAGUGGGGGACAACAGUUGGAAACGACUGCUAAUACCGCAUAAGCCCACGAUCCGGCAUCGGAUUGAGGGAAAAGGAUUUAUUCGCUUCAGGAUGGACUCGCGUCCAAUUAGCUAGUUGGUGAGGUAACGGCCCACCAAGGCGACGAUUGGUAGCCGGACUGAGAGGUUGAACGGCCACAGUGGGACUGAGACACGGCCCAGACUCCUACGGGAGGCAGCAGUGGGGGAUAUUGCACAAUGGGGGAAACCCUGAUGCAGCGACGCCGCGUGGAGGAAGAAGGUUUUCGGAUUGUAAACUCCUGUCGUUAGGGACGAUAAUGACGGUACCUAACAAGAAAGCACCGGCUAACUACGUG